AGAGUUUGAUCAUGGCUCAGAUUGAACGCUGGCGGCAGGCCUAACACAUGCAAGUCGAGCGGUAGCACAGAGAGCUUGCUCUCGGGUGACGAGCGGCGGACGGGUGAGUAAUGUCUGGGAAACUGCCUGAUGGAGGGGGAUAACUACUGGAAACGGUAGCUAAUACCGCAUAAUGUCGCAAGACCAAAGUGGGGGACCUUCGGGCCUCAUGCCAUCAGAUGUGCCCAGAUGGGAUUAGCUAGUAGGUGGGGUAACGGCUCACCUAGGCGACGAUCCCUAGCUGGUCUGAGAGGAUGACCAGCCACACUGGAACUGAGACACGGUCCAGACUCCUACGGGAGGCAGCAGUGGGGAAUAUUGCACAAUGGGCGCAAGCCUGAUGCAGCCAUGCCGCGUGUAUGAAGAAGGCCUUCGGGUUGUAAAGCACUUUCAGCGGGGAGGAAGGCGUUGAGGUUAAUAACCUCACCGAUUGACGUUACCCGCAGAAGAAGCACCGGCUAACUCCGUGCCAGCAGCCGCGGUAAUACGGAGGGUGCAAGCGUUAAUCGGAAUUACUGGGCGUAAAGCGCACGCAGGCGGUCUGUCAAGUCGGAUGUGAAAUCCCCGGGCUCAACCUGGGAACUGCAUUCGAAACUGGCAGGCUAGAGUCUUGUAGAGGGGGGUAGAAUUCCAGGUGUAGCGGUGAAAUGCGUAGAGAUCUGGAGGAAUACCGGUGGCGAAGGCGGCCCCCUGGACGAAGACUGACGCUCAGGUGCGAAAGCGUGGGGAGCAAACAGGAUUAGAUACCCUGGUAGUCCACGCCGUAAACGAUGUCGACUUGGAGGUUGUGCCCUUGAGGCGUGGCUUCCGGAGCUAACGCGUUAAGUCGACCGCCUGGGGAGUACGGCCGCAAGGUUAAAACUCAAAUGAAUUGACGGGGGCCCGCACAAGCGGUGGAGCAUGUGGUUUAA
rnacentral:rRNA from 1 species